rnacentral:ncRNA from 1 species
ACUCGUCGCUACUACCGAUUGAAUGGUUUAGCAGGUCCUCGGAUUAGUACCAUUGUAGUGGCUUCGGCCGCUCGACCGGUACUGAGAAGACAACCAAACUUGUUCAUUUAGAGGAAGUAAAAGUCGUAACAA